CCGUUUCGACGACAUUGAUCACACUCAAGUCUCGGGAGACCUCAACAACCUCUGUACUUCUGAUCUCCUGUUCGCACCUGGUCGAGUAGAAACCGCUGUCAAUACAAGCGAGGUGGUUGAUCUCACUGGGCCUACGCAGACCGAGCCUCCUACUACAAUCCAGG